AUUGAACGCUGGCGGCAUGCCUUACACAUGCAAGUCGAACGGCAGCACGGGGGCAACCCUGGUGGCGAGUGGCGAACGGGUGAGUAAUGCAUCGGAACGUGCCCAGUAGUGGGGGAUAACCCGGCGAAAGCCGGGCUAAUACCGCAUACGUCCUACGGGUGAAAGCGGGGGACCGUAAGGCCUCGCGCUAUUGGAGCGGCCGAUGUCUGAUUAGCUAGUUGGCGGGGUAAAGGCCCACCAAGGCGACGAUCAGUAGCUGGUCUGAGAGGACGACCAGCCACACUAGGACUGAGACACGGCCCAGACUCCUACGGGAGUCAGCAGUGGGGAAUUUUGGACAAUGGGCGCAAGCCUGAUCCAGCCAUGCCGCGUGCGGGAAGAAGGCCUUCGGGUUGUAAACCGCUUUUGGCAGGAACGAAACGGCGCAAGCUAAUACCUUGCGCUAAUGACGGUACCUGCAGAAUAAGCACCGGCUAACUACGUGCCAGCCGCCGCAGUAAAAC
rnacentral:rRNA from 1 species